GUUUGAGUUGGUGGUGGUGGGGGGGAACGGAUCUACCGCCACUUUGUAAGUGGCUGCGCUUUGUUUGUUUGCCUUUGUAUGGAGUUAGUUUCGGAUUCUUAAAAAAAAAUUGGAGAGACAUUUUGUGGAAAUGUUCCUGAUCGAGUCCUUCCCUCCCUCUGGCUCUUGUACAUUCAACGAGAAAAUGGAGGCGAGUUAUUUCAAGAGGCAGCUCCUGAACAACAAUGAACUUGGUCCAUCCGUCCCCCCCCCACCCCCCAACUUUUGUUUUUAAUUUGACAAAGUUAAUUUCUUUCUUUUAAAAAUAUAAGAUCCAUUUAGUCACUCAUUUCCUCAAUUGUUUUUUUAAAAAGUCACCCCCACUGCUGUCCUACUAACCUUAAAAAAAAAUCAGCCAAAUAUCUCCAGGCAAAGUGUGUCGUAAUAGUUUUUCCCUUUCGUGUUCAAACUGUCUUGGGUGUUUUGUCGAAACAAAAACGCUUUUAAAAAUGUUCUUUUUUUACUUCAAAUAUUCAUUUGACCCACGUUUAUCAGAAAACAAAAAAAAAUGUCCAUUACCAUCUUUUCAAAGUAUUUCUUGAGGGUGGAGAGUCCAAAUUUUCCUGAGACUUCAAACCUGCCAAGGUUAGUUUGAAAACAAAAAUCUCUUUGCUACAAAAUCAGCUCUUCUGUUGUCAGGAGUGCCCACACUUGACACUGUUGGUGUAACUUGCCCUACAGGGUAAGCUCCCAUGUUUGUGUUUUUUAAAACCAAGAAAGCUAAUAUGUUUCUUUCUCACUCUAUUAUAUGGUUGAAUAGUUUAAGGCCAUUACAAGUUUGCGCUUUCAGUUGUUUCCUGUUAGAGUAACCUUUCCUGUUCUGCUGUAUAUGUUUUAUUUUUGACAGCUUAUUUAACAGAGCACAGUGCCAGAGGUGUAAGGCACAGUCAGUAUUUCUGAGGAAGGGCCACUUGGUCCGAAAUGUUAACUCUGAUUUCUCUCCACAGACCUGAGCCUUUUCCAGCAACUUCUAUUUUUGUUGCAGUUUUUCAGGGAGACUGAAUUAGGACCGCUGUGUUGUUAGAAUCCCUCUUGUAUCGCUGUUCCAGGGUAUUUGGGGAGCUGUUGGCCCCGAGUUUAGCUCUGGUGAACACUUCAGUUCGGUGCUGAGGGAGUGCUGCAGUGCCAGAGAUGCCACUUUCAGUGCGUUGGUGAGGUCUCAUCUGGGAUAGUAUGUGCAGUUUUGGUUUCCUUUUCUUAAAAAGAAGGAUAUAAGUGCCGUCCGAAGAAGGAUCACUUGAUUGAUAACUGGGAGAAGAGGUGAUCUUACGAAUGUAUCCAUGAGCGUUUAGGAACAUAAGGCUUUCUGACUGAAACGUCGAAGAUCCUGAGGGAACAUGAGUGCCAAAAGGAUGUUUUCACUUGUGGAAGGACAGAAUCAAGGACACGGUUUGCAAAUAAGAGGGGUUCCUUUUGAGUUGGAGGUUUGAUGACACUGUGGUCCUCUGGUGUACUGACCUCUAUCUUGCAGAAGCCAAACAGCAUCCCUCCAACAUUUUCCUGCAUCUCCUGUGGACCAGGAAUCUGCCACUGGAUUUCAAGCCACUGUGUCCAGGUCUGUCACUGACGUCACUCCUCUGGGGAUCUUGCCUCCGCAGCCUUCAACACAGAACAGCCUGCCCCUGCUGCCUUCCCAAAACUCAUAAAUCAAAACCAUUGUUUCAGGUUGGUCCUAUCUCACUCCACUUACUACUUCCUUUGUAUGGUCUCUUCCUACCUACAUCUAUGAAUCUUCCAAUGACCUAUGUCCCUCGUUUCAUGGACCUAAUUGUUUCCCUUACACUGUGGAUGUCCAAUACUUCUACAUCUCCAUCCUUGGCCAGAGCACACUCUGAGGUCUCUGCUUCUUCCUUGAGAGGUGGCCUGUACAAUUCCCAUUAACCCCAACCCUCUUCCAUCUGGCUGACUUUGUUCUUGCCCUGGAACAACUUCUACUCCAACUCCACUCACGUCCUCCAUUCUAUGGGCAUUCUCAUCCCAUUUUCCAGCACUUGGCCCUUAGCCUUACACGUGUCCUCCCUGAACAAUGGUAGGGUUGCCGUGGUCCUCCUGUUCUCCCCCACCGGCUCACACGUUCAGUGAACCGUUCUGCACCAUUUUUGCCAACUCCAAUGUGAUUCCACCAUAAGGUACAUCUCCCACUCCCUCUUCAGCAUUCCAAGGGGACAGUUUCCCCAGUGAUGCUGUAAUCCACUCCUCAGACACCCUAACUCCCUCCUCUCUUCAGUACAAUACUUUUCAGUGCAGGUCACCUCUUGCCACCUUGCAUCCAAAGGCCUAAACGCUCCUUUCAAAUAAAAUGUCCAUGUGCUUCCUUCAAUAUGGUUGGUUUUAUUUAUUGCUCAUGAUGUGGUCUUCUGUACACCAGAUAGAGCAAAAGUAGACUGGGCGACUGCUUUGCAGAGUACUCAACUCAUUCCAGAAAUGUGACCCUGGGUUUCUGGUGCUUGGUGCUUUAACUCCUCAUCUUGCUGCUACCCUGACCUCUCUGUUUCCUGGGCCUGCUACAGUGUCCCAGUGAAGCCCACCACAAACCUGAAGAACAACAUUUCAUCUGUCUUGCCAUACUGGGCUCCAUUAAACACACUUGGAUCAUCUGUUCUAUCUUGUUUUUUUAAAGGGUUUUUCCCUUUGCUGACUUGUUUUGCCUUUAACCUUGCAAGUUGCAUUCGGCUGCUGGUGCUGUAGAAUCAUUCACACCUCCUCUUUCUCUGCUAUAUCUAUUACCACACUCUGUAGCUUUUGCAUCAUGAAAUCUUUUGUUUAUUAAUCUCUCUAGCCCUAUGCCUUGUUCCAGGCCUUGUCUUUUGUUGUUCCCCUCCCUUCCACUGGCUUAAAUUUCUGUUUUUCAUUGCUGGCUUGAAACAUUCACUCUGUCUCUUUCACAGGUGCAGCCUGCGCUGAAUAUUUCUCUCAUUUUAUGCUUAUUUCAAUUUGCCGAGCCACGAGACAUUGGGGUCCAGGUUCAUACUUCCUUGAAGGUGAAGUUGCAGAUAGACAGGAUAGUGAAGGUAUUGUUUGGUCCACUUGCCUUGAUUGGUCAGUGCAUUGCGUGUAGGAGU